UGGCGGGCCGUGUAGGAUUCGAACCUACGUUGUCUUUCGACACGGAUUAACAAUCCGCCGCCAAACCGCUUGGCUAACGACCC
rnacentral:tRNA from 1 species